rnacentral:rRNA from 1 species
UACGGAGGGUGCGAGCGUUGUCCGGAAUCACUGGGCGUAAAGGGCGCGUAGGCGGCCUGAUAAGUAGGGGGUGAAAUCCUGCGGCUUAACCGCAGGGCUGCCUUCUAAACUGUCGGGCUAGAGCACGGUAGAGGCAGAUGGAAUUCCCGGUGUAGCGGUGGAAUGCGUAGAGAUCGGGAAGAACAUCAGUGGCGAAGGCGGUCUGCUGGGCCGUUGCUGACGCUGAGACGCGAAAGCGUGGGGAGCGAACAGG